AUUCACCCUGACACUAUAUAUAAAAAAAGCACAUGUAGUCAUCCAGACAUGCACAUAUAUUUGGCCUUCAAAGGGAAUGGGAUCUAAUUUUGCCCGGGGCCCCAAAGGCUCUCAGUCCGCCCCUGGAUGCUAGGAGAUUGAAAACUAGGCAAUAUUUUUAUCAUUAGAAAUUAGAAAAACAGUAGUAUUUUGGGCAAAGUGAAAAAUAAGUAGGAAUUGCCAAGGAACCAAACAGCCAUUUUCUUAUUAUUUACAUUCACUCAAACUCGAAGUCUGAAUGUGUAGACCACAAAAAUAUAUAUUAGACUUGUGCAUGGUGGGAUUGUUCUGUUCAUUUUCCAGAAUGGAAUUCUCAAUUCUAAUACAUAUUGCAGAGCUUCAUUUGAGUCUGCACAAACGAUGAUAAAUUAAAUUAAGCAAAGCUCCUCAACUAUACCACAUUGUUCCAAAGAUUGUUUAAGUUCUAUAGUAUAUGUAGCAUUCAAUUAAAACAGUUAAAUAGUAAUAGGUCUAGGAUAGGGGUUUUUUUUGGGGUUUUUUACUGGCAAGACGUGCAUAGGACAUAACAUUAUACAGUGGUAUUUAGACAAUGAUAUACAUGAUAAAUUAAAACAAACAAUUGUGCUUUUAGUGUAGAGUGUAGACCACUGUGAAAUCUAGCAACACAUCAGAGAAAUGCUAUCCAAUCAGCAAAUAUACAGCAACUAGAUGCUGUAAUGUUGAAAUAACAGUUUUUUGUCAUGUUUGGCCUAGUUGUACACAUGAAGACUCCAGACUUUGUUUGUGAAUGCUUAUGAAAUGUGUUAUUUGUUAAAG